rnacentral:lncRNA from 1 species
AGGAAAUUGAUCGGAGCCAUGGACUCGUCGUGACGUCCAGUCGAUCGUCACCGAUUCAAUUGGGAACGGCUUAUGAGUCGUUUAUCCUCAUGGAAAAUUGGUAUGUUUGGUUUUAAGGAAACAAAGGUGAAACCCGAAACCCUAAUUUUUAUGUUUGGUUACUUGGAAAGUGUAGAAACAGGAAGGAAAUUUGAUUUUUGUUUUGUUUUUAUUAAUGGGUUUCUUUAGUUGUAUGUGAGUUGUUAGUGAAUUGCACUGUUUGGAUGAGUUGGUUUGUGCGUCUAGGGAUUUAGGAAUUUGGAAACACAAAUAACAAUGAGAAACUGAUGAUAAUGUAUUUCGAUAUAUAUGAUAUAUUUUAUUGGUAGAAAGAAUUAGGAAUUUGAGAAAUUUUCUGGUGUCUUCAAUUGUGGGUUUCUGAUCUAAAUUAUUUCUUUUGUAUGAUCAGCUGGAUGUUGGAGAACCAGCUGUUACUCCCAAAGGUAAAAUGGAUAUAUAUAUUAAUUAGGUACAUGCAUAUAUAUAGAGUUGCAUUUGAUCUUUCUAGUUUUGUUUUCUUACCCUAUUCUUGUUGUGUUGUCAUGUUCAUGUUCUACUAAUGAUGAAGUAAUUGUUGCCGUCGACAAUAUUCGUUUGGAUGGGAAGAACUACAAUAUUUGGAGUUAUAGAAUGCAUUCGUACGUCCUAGAUAAUAGUCUUACACGUGUGCUCUAUGCGCCAUGCCCAAGAUUUUUGGUAGAAACUGAAGCAAGUGUUGAAGAAAUUGCUAUAUCAAGGGCUGCUGAAGAGAUAUGAAACAAGAAUGACUCCCUGUGUUUUCAUACAAUCUUGAACCAUCUAUCUGAUGAUCUCUUCCAUCAUUACUCAAAGAGGGGGAAGAAAACAAGUGCUAAGCAACUUUGGCAUGAGCUACAAUCGAGGUUUGGAGAACAAAAUUCUUGCGUUCCAGAUUACCUGGAAUAUCAUUUCCUUGAAGAGGAACCAAUGGUGGAGCAGGUUGAAGAACUGAAUGCAAGGUUCAAAGAACUGGUUAAAUGUGAAGAAAUGGCGAUAGACGAGGAAUUUCAUGUGAAUACAAUCAUCUCCAAACUCCCCCCCUCUUGGGAGGAUGUGCGCAUCGAGUUGAUGCGUGAGGAUGAGGAGGAGCACAGGCGCUGGGGCCGGGCUGCACCAGAUUCUUCUUUCCCCUUUUUUUUUUUUUUUUUUU